UCGUUGAAGCCUCCAUAAGUUGUCUUGUAGAAUUCGUCCUCUUCUUCAGCAUCCAGUAAUUUUGACAUGCGAUUACCCGCAGUUUUUCUGGGUUCUCGGCCAACUGCCAGUGUCAUGGCUGUAAUUUAUAAAUAUUGUUAACUAACGUUCACGUCUGGCUAGGAAGGUGUCUACCUAGUGUUGUGCUAGCUUAACCGUGAUAGGCUCUUCUACCUCGUCGUUACUCGCUGCGCUGACUCAAUUAACUUAUCUGUUGGUGUCCAUAAUUAUUAAAGAUAUGAAUAAGCUUUAAAGCCACGCUAAUGUGCUGAAAACGGUUCCUUAUUAGAUGACUGUGGUAACACAAGCUAAAAACACAGCUAACCGCUAAGAUUAGCCGCUGCCUUCUGUUAGCUUACCAACACAUCCGGAGCAGUUGAUGUACUUCCGGGCUAACGUUGUACAGACAGAGCAGCCACGUUACAGCGCUAUGUUCAAAAUUAAAUUGCUGUUAACUUAAUAUUUAUACAAUAUCUACAAGUUCUCUUUGGCAGUUGUGAUGAACAGUAUCAUAUUAGCAGUUUGUCACUUCUGGCUACUGUAUGACGACACAACAUGGCGACACAACAUGGUGACGUCCAUGUAAGGGGACCCACGGUGUAUGUAGAUAGAAAUGGCUCAUUCUAAGCAAGCCAGAGCAAGCAAAGGCAGCCAGCUCCACUAACUGGUGGAGGUCUUAGAUCACUGCUACAGAUUUACCCAGAGUUUAUGUUCAAAUUAAAACAGUGUUGAAGUGU